rnacentral:rRNA from 1 species
GUGAGGAAUAUUGCGCAAUGGAGGAAACUCUGACGCAGCGACGCCGCGUGAAGGAUGAAGGCCCUCUGGGUUGUAAACUUCUGUAGAGAGGGAAGAAUUUCUCGUUUCGCGAGAUUGACGGUACCUCUAAAGUAAGGGUCGGCUAACUACGUGCCAGCAGCCGCGGUAAUACGUAGGACCCAAGCGUUGUCCGGAUUUACUGGGUGUAAAGGGAGCGCAGGCGGAUUUUCAAGUCGAUGGUGAAAUCUUGCGGCUCAACCGCAAAACAGCCGUCGAUACUGUUAAUCUUGAGUGUGGAAGAGAGUGGCGGAAUUCAUGGUGUAGCAGUGAAAUGCGUAGAUAUCAUGAAGAACACCGGUUGCGAAGGCGGCCACUUAGUCCAUUACUGACGCUCAUGCUCGAAAGCGUGGGGAUCAAACAGGAUUAGAAACCCUGGUAGUCC